rnacentral:lncRNA from 1 species
UUGUAUUCAAAAACAAGAGAUAGCGUAGUCACAAUGCACGAGUGCGGAGCCUAUUUAUAAACUACAUAGAGGGGCAAAAUAGUAAAUUCGCCUGCGACGCAUGCGCCUUGCAUGAUCGAAGGAUAGAAUAGUAAUUUCGUCUUUACGCGGGGGCUCUCCCGCGUUUUCUGGUGACUUCUCUGGCGAGGGUGACUUCUCUGGCAUGGGUGACUUCUCUGGCGAGGAUGACUUCU